rnacentral:rRNA from 1 species
GCGAUAGGCUUAACACAUGCAAGUCGAGGGGUAGCAGGUUCUAGCAAUAGGAUGCUGACGACCGGCGCACGGGUGAGUAACGCGUAUACAAUCUGCCCAUAACAUGGGGAUAGCCCGUUGAAAGACGGAUUAAUACCCAAUAACACAGGGAUACCGCAUGGUAUUAUUUGUUAAAGAAUUUCGGUUAUGGAUGAGUAUGCGUAUGAUUAGCUAGUUGGUAAGGUAACGGCUUACCAAGGCAACGAUCAUUAGGGGAACUGAGAGGUUUAUCCCCCACACUGGUACUGAGACACGGACCAGACUCCUACGGGAGGCAGCAGUGAGGAAUAUUGGUCAAUGGACGAGAGUCUGAACCAGCCAAAUCGCGUGAAGGAUGAAGGUAUUAUGUAUUGUAAACUUCUUUUAUAUAUGAAUAAUCUCCGGGACGUGUCCCGGCCUGUAUGUAGUAUAUGAAUAAGCAUCGGCUAACUCCGUGCCAGCAGCCGCGGUAAUACGGAGGAUGCGAGCGUUAUCCGGAUUUAUUGGGUUUAAAGGGUGCGUAGGUUGACUAAUAAGUCAGUGGUGAAAUCCCGGUGCUCAACAUCGGAACUGCCAUUGAAACUGUUGUUCUUGAGUGUGAACGAGGUAGGCGGAAUUCGUAGUGUAGCGUGAAAUGCAUAGAUAUUACGAAGGACCCCGAUAGCGCAG